rnacentral:lncRNA from 1 species
AAAAAAAAAAAAAAAAAGCCUGACAUAGUCUCUAUGAUGAUUCGGGUUUGAUCCCUGGGUUAAGGAUCCCAUGUCGUUGCAAGCUGUGGUGUUGCUGUGGCUGUGAUGUAGGCCUCAGCUGCAGCUCUGAUCCAACCCUUAGCCUGGGAAUUUCCCUAUGCCACAUGUGUGGCCGUAAAAAGAAGAAAGAGAAAGAUUUGGAAGAAUUUACCUAGGAGUGAGCUGGUCUGGGGACUCCCCUUUAUCCCGUGGACCUUACCCUGCAGACACCCCUCUGCACAUGGGAUAGCACAGUCACCCAGAUUUCUCAAGCCGAGAACUCAUCAGCGCCCCCUCCAGGGAGCCUGGGUGCCUGGGAGGUGAGGCUGUGCCCCCUCACAGGAAGGGGUCCCCCCCCUGUGAGGAGGUAGGAUGGUCUCUAUGGGGUCCACAUUAACCUGUCCUCCUCACUGCUGCCACGUGUCCCCAGGAGGAACCCAGAGUCCCCGAGGCACAGGGUGUUGGCGAUUACCCUUCCCUGGGGCGGGGGAACAAGGGGUGGGAAGCGAAGCCUUGUCAUGUUCUAGGUAUGUGCCCCACAGCCCCUGCAGCUGGCUCCUCGGGGGGCUGGGCAGAUGGGGAGAAAAACAACAUUAGAUUGAAGCGAAAGGAGUAGGAGCCUCCUGGUUUGUCUCGUUGAGGUCCUGGGCUGUCUGAGAUCACCUAGACCUUGAUCGGGUCUGGCCGGGGCUCUCCAGCAUCCUGGGCUGUCCAGUCUGUGUUUGAAUACUUCACGGACAGCAAACUCACCACUUUACAAGGUGAUCCAUUCUGAAUCUGGAGGGCCCAAUUUGAAAAUUUACCUUAUGUCUUCUACGGUUUCUGCCCAUGGGUCUUAAAUUCUACCCCUUAGAGACACGAAGAGCAAUUGGAUAAGAGAGUAUAUGGUUUGCAUGUGGACCCUAUCUGAAAUGUGCACCCACUUGUGUAACAAGCAAGCAGGCACACACCUGGGUGAUACCAGAGUGAGCAGAGAUUGCUUCUUGAUUCUGGUGUUCCUUUGUGGGGUUUUGUUUUGCUUUGUUUUUUUCUUUUCUUCCCACAGCAUAUGGAAGGUCCCAGGCUAGGGAUCGAAUCAGAGCUGCAGCUGCCAGCCUACACCACAGCCACAGAAGCUUGGGAGCCGAGCAACACCUGUGACUUAUGCUGCAGCUUGAUCUUUAACCCACUGAGUGGGGCCAGGGAUCGAACCCGUGUCCUCACAGACACUACGUCAGGUUCUUAACCCACUGAGUGAGGCUGGGGCUCAAGCCUGCAUCCUCAUGGAUACUAGUUGGGUUCUUAACCCGCUGAACUGCAACGGGAACUCCUAUUUUGUGUCGUAUACCUCCCUUGGCCUGAGGUGCCCAGAGCUUCAAAUGUGUGCGUUCAUUUUCCAAAGAUAGUACUUUCCUUCCUGGCAGCAGUGGUUCAACCACAUUGGGUUGAAUCUGGUAGAUCCUAUUUAGCUGGUUUAUGCAAUUAUGGAGAUAUCCGUGGGAUAUUUUGUCGGAAGAUAGGAAAUUUGGUUAAUUGCCUUGGGGAAAUCUAUUCAGCUUAAAAAAUAAAGGGAACAGUUAACAUUUUCCCUUAGUAAUUUUUCCAGUGACAUGACAUCUGUAAACUCCUAACUACUUGACUGAAGGACAGUUUCGUUUACUUUUUUUUUUUUUUUUUUUUAUUUCACCUUCUUGCCAGGCCCAGGCCACAGGGGAGUGAAGUCUCCUCGGGUCUAGGAAAGAGUUAAUUUCUUUUUCCACAGCAUGGUAAUACACACCUAAGAACAUUCCAGAGUCUUGGGUAGAAAUUGUAAGAAAGUAUUAAAACUUGAGAAAUGAAUUAACAAGCCACCUUUUAUGCGACAGCCAUGCGCCUCUUCCUGGAAUGAAUAGCACUUUAUCCUCCACUGCGUAAGUCGUGGGCAGGAAGGUGGAGCCAGCUCUGCAUCACGGAGGGUGCCUGGGUGCGUGUGUCUGCGUGUGUGUGUGUGUCUGUGCGUGCACACUCAGAGCAGAAGGAAUCUGUGCAAAUACAUGAAGUUUGACGUAAACUCACAGAACCCUGAAAGAGAAGAAUUUAGAGUAAAACCCUAUCAUCUUCAGCUCACACUGUUGAGUCAGGCUGGGACCUGGGACCCCUCGCUGCCGAGGUGGCAGUGCUUGCACCUGGAAAAACAGCUCUUGGAACAACAAAGAAACUUAGAGUUUCUAUAGGCUAAAAAUAACUGCAGAGCAUAUGCAGUUAGAGCAAAUUAUGGGCAAGGAGAUACAAAAAAACCUAAAUACCCAACUGCUGCUUCUGAAGAGCUGGGAGCAAAAGCAGGGCACUCCGCAUGCCAAAGCACCACCAAAGGGGUUGGCAGGCCACCUGAGCCACCCCUCUGGUUCCACCCCUGGACUCAUCCCUCCUACCCUUGCCCCGUAUAAGGAACCAGCUCCCCCUGCCCCCACCAGGGAGAGAGCAAGCCAGGGAACCUCUUAUCUUUUGUCUCUCCCCUCUGCUGCAGCAGGGGCCCCCAGUAAAGUCUUACUUGAAGUUUUUUCCUGGCUUCUAAUCCAUUUCUAUUAAGGAGGCCCAGAACCCAGGCCGCUAACACCAUCACACCACUGAGUUUAAGCCUUUUCGAAACUUCAUUCUUACUAGAGUUCUGAUAAUUCUUGCCGCACACACAGAGACUGCUCCGUAUUCUAACCUUCAUCCUUGUUCACUUCUUUUUUUUUUUGCUUUUUGCUUUUUGGAGGUGCACACGCGGCAUAUGGAAGUUCCCAGGCUAGGGUCUGAAUCUGAACUACAGCAGCCACAGCCACGCCAGAUCGGAGCCACAUCUGCGACCUACACCACAGCUUGCACAACACCGGAUCCUUUAACUCACUGAGCAAGGCCAGGGAUGAACCCCAUUGUCACGGAUACUAGUCGGAAUCCUUUCCACUGAGCCACAAAGGGCAUUCCCACUACUUAUUUUUAGGGCUCACUAGUGGGUAUGUUAAUUGUUUUCCAAAUCAAAUAGCUGAAAUAUGACCGUAAAAAGUGAGACUACUUGUGCUGAAAUAAUGGAGAAAUGUGAUGCCUAUGUCCCAGUCACUGUGGUAUUUGACACAGACUCAUUCCUUUAAUCCUCACAACGUGUAACAGGUGGGCACUGCCGCUCUUGCCAUCCUGCAGACAAGGGAACUGAGGCCCUGAGGGCUCACCAGCUCACCCAGGCCUUGCCUCUGGUUGCUGGUGGGGGGUGGCUGGAGGCCUGGCACCUUGUCCUGAUGGCAGUUUGUCCUGAUGGUGGUUUGUCCUGGGUGUGCCUUUUUUUUUGGUGAUAUUAAGAAUUUUGAUUUGAUCGAAGAAUUUUUGAAAAUGGUGUUUGAGUCAUAACAUCAGUUUAGAAUCAAGUUUAGAAAAUUAAGAUAGGCUGAUUUUAAUCACCAGGACUCUGGGAAUAGUUCCUGUUAACAUGUAUUUAUUCAAGCAAAUCUCUUCUAAGAUUUUAUUUUAUUUAUUUUUUAUUUACGAUUUUUUUUUUUUUUUACUUUUAAAAAUCUUAUUGGAGUAUAGUUGACUUUCAACAUCUUUUUAGUUUCAGGUGUACGGCAAAGCGAUUCAGUUAUACAUGUAUGCAUAUCCGUUCUUUUUCAGAUUCUUUUCCCGUGUAAGUUACUGGAGACUAUUGAAUAGAGUUCCCUAUGCUAUACAGUGGGGCCUUGUGGUUAUCUCUUUUAUAUGUAGUAGAGUAAAUAUGUUAAUCCCCAACUUCUAAUUUAUCCCCCUCCCCAUAUAUCCCUUUUGGUAACUGUAAAUUUGGUUUCACAAUCUUUGAGUAUGUUUCUGUUUUAUGAAUGAGUUCAUUUGUAUCAUCUUAAGAUUCCAGAUACCCGUGGUAUCAUAUGGUGUUUGUCUUUCUCUGUCUGACUUACUUCACUCGUAUGAUCAUCUCUGGGUCCAUCCUUGUUGCUGCCUGGGGGUGGCUCUUGGUCACUCCUGACACAGCCUCUCAGAGCAUAGCUCACAGAAUCACUGUCCCCCUUGUAGUGACAUCUUGCAUCUAUUGUAUCAGAUUAAGGCCUAGAGGUUACAGCCGAGGGACUCCAGGAUGAUAUUAGUGGCAUAAGGAAAAGAAGGUUUUGUUUCCCUGUUAUGAGGUCUGAGGGGCAUCUUGGCGAGCAGGACAGUUUUGCUGCCUGGAGUCUUUCAAGGACCCAGAUUCCUGUCUCUUCCACAUCAUCGCUCUAUUAUUUUAGGGCACUGUUGUCACCUAUGUGGUGGGAGCUGGGGGGUGACCAUGCGCACACCCUGCCCCUUGAGAGGGGAGAGGAGGUGGAAGUUGCCUGUCCUCUGCUCAGAGGCCUGCUGGGCCCAGGCAUGCUGUGUGAUAUAUAUAUUUUUAACGGCUAUAGCUGUGGCAGAGGGAAGAUCCUGUGCUAGGGGUUGAAUCAGAGCUUCAGCCGCCAGCCUGCUCUACAGCCACAGCUCUGCAACCUACACCGCAGCUUGCAGCAAUGCAGGAUCCUUAACCCAGUAAGCAAGGCCAGGGAUUGAACCAGUGUCCUCAUGGAUACUAUGUCAGGUUCUUAACCCACUGAGCUAUAAAAGGAACUCCCCUCUGCUCAUUUUCCAUCGAAGAGAACUUAGUUAUACCUGCCCUGGUCACAGGGCCAUGCCUGUCUGCAAGGAAAGAUGGGAUGUGUAAUUGAGCCAUCGCUUAAGGAAAAAGGGGAGAGUGCAUUUUGAUGGGCAACCAGCAGUGUCCAUUGUGUGUUUAAAGAAGAACAUAAUUAUGUUUUUUUGUUUUUUUUGUUUUUUUUUGUUUUUUUAAUGGCUGCACUUGCAGCAAAUGGAAGUUUCCUUGGCUAGGGGUUGAAUCAGAACUGCAGCUGAGGCCUAUGUCACAGCCAUGGCAACACCAGAUCCAAGCCACAUAUGCACCUAUGCUGUAGCUUGUGGCAACACUGGAUCCUUAACUCACUGAAUGAGGCAAGGGAUUGAACCCACAUCCUCAUGGAAACCAUGUUGGGUCCUUAACCUGCUGAGCCACAAUGGGAACUCCCAAGAACCUAAUUAUUGUGAUAGAAAUAACAUAUUGUCACAGUAAGAAAUCUAGCCAGCAAAGAAGGUACUUAAUAGAAAAAAAAAAAUCGGUCCUAAUUCACUGAAGCAGGCUUUUUUUUUUUUUUUGCCUUUUUUUAGGGCUGCACUAGCGGCAUAUGGAAGUUUCUGGGCUAGGAGUUGAAUUGGAGUGACAGUUGCUGGCCUAUGCGUGCCAGAGCCACAGCAACAUGGGAUCUGAGCUGUGUCUGUGACCUACACCACAGCAAUGCUGGAUCCCUGACCCACUGAGCGAAGCCAGGGAUCAAACCCAAAUCCUCGUGGAUACUAGUUGGAUUCGUUUCUGCUGAGUCACAGUGGGAACUCCCCAGACUUUUAAUUUUUUUUAAUUUCUAUUUUCAUAUUUUGCUUUUUAGGGCUGCACCCAUGGCAUAUGGUGGUUCCCGGGCUAGGGGUCGAGUUGGAGCUACAGCUGUCAGCCUGCACCACAGUCACAGCAACGCCAGAUCUGAGCCAAGUGUAUGACCUACACCACACAGCUCACGGCAACGCUGGAUCCUUAACCCAUUGAGCUUGUCCAGGGAUCGAACCCGUGACCUCAUGGUUACUAGUUGGAUUCGUUUCUGCUGUGCCACAAUGGGAACUCCAGACUUUUUAUUUUAAACUCUCCAUCACCCACUCCUCCCGUUAAGCCCUCUGACCUCUUCUUGGGGGAUUUCAUCUUUCCCCAGAGGGUAGAGUCUGGAUGGAUUGUGAAGCAUGGGCCUUGUUGUCCCCUUGCUCUGGAGGUGGCUCUGUGACCUGGGUGCAUAGAUGGUAUUCCUUCCUAAGGGUUAGAGGAAAGGGAUGAAAAUUAUAAAUGCUGGAGCUCAUGGAUGCUGGUGGUGGCACCUGAGUGGCAUUCCUGGGUGAGGACUCUCCUGAAGUUGCCUUAGUUCUCACUUAUUUAAUAGCUUGGCUUCUGAGCUUUCGGUCCCCUGAGCGCUCAGGAUUGUAAUAAAAUCCCCUGCGUUCCAUUUAGUCUGAAUUGGUCCCUGGUGUUUGCAGCUAAAGAUCGCUAACCAAUACAGCGCUAUCUAGAGGAAAUCUCUGCCAACCUUCAGUGUAUUUUCUUUCUGCUGCCUCUUCAUCUGUUUUUACAUACCCAAUAUUUGCAUUGUUCAAACAACUUUAUACCUAUUCUAAAAAUAAGUAUUUUUUCCAGUUCAUAAAAGUAGCUGUUAAUAUUAGAUUGCAGGGAUGUUUCAUAUUUAUGAAGGUAAUUAAUGGUUUUUUGAUUCUGAAAUAAAUAUCUUUUUAUUAGGCAUCAUUUUAGGAAUAUAGGGGUACUUCAUGAAUUAAAAAUCCUGAACAUAGUUGCAUUAACAUUUAUUUUUCACUUUUCUUAAAGCUUUACACUAUUUACAAUAUCUUUUAAAAUCCAAAUAUGGGAAUUCCCAUUGUGGCUCAGCAGGUUAAGAACAGAACGUAGUCUCUGUGAAGAUGUGGGUUUGAUCCCUGGCCCCGCUCAGUGGGUUAAGGAUCCAGCAUAGACUCAAGCUGCGGCAUGGGUCACAGAUGUGGCUUGGAUAUCGUGUUGCUGUGGCUGUGGUAUAGGCCAGCAGCUGCAGCUCUGAUUUGACCCCUGGCCUGGGAACUCCCAUAUACCGCAGGUGUGGCCCUAAAACAAAAAAUUCCAAACAUGCAUGUCCAAGUAUCGGCUUCCUAACAUAGAGACAAUUCAGGCAGAAUUGCCAAUGUCUUGUUAAUAAGCUUGAGGCUCCUUGACUUUUCCUGGAUCACAUGGCUGCAGUGUCUUUGCUGAAGUUCAGGUCUCCUGGUGUGUUGCCAUGGGCUCAUACUUACUGAAUUGCCUUUCAGAGCCACUCUGGAUGUUCCCCAGUGUCUUGGGCAGCCAGUGGGCAAUGAUGCUGAUAGCUGUGUGUUCCAAAACUCACCCAGCUCUAUUCUGGACAGUGGGCUAUACUGGCGAGAUGCUUGCUGAAGGUCAGUGCCUUCAGAUUCUCUACCCAUCUGAAAAUGGGCCAUUACCCACACUGUCGGAGGAAGACUGUGCUUAUUCCUGAUCCGAGGUAGCUUAUUGCGUCAGGAGGAAAUCAAGGUCACGUUAGACAGCAGAGGUCAUGGGUCAGUGAAGGCACAGGCCAAGGUUGACAUGAGGGUGGAGGUCAUGGCUGAGGCACUGAGAUGAAGCAGGGGGUGCGGGGGGCUCUCUCCGUCCCAUCUGACACCUCUGCCACCCUUUGCCCCCUCAGCAAUGAAAGGCCAUGACAUGUAGGCAUGACACACAGAAUGUCAUGUGUCUGAGCAGAAGGGACUUAAACGUGUGCCCUGCAGCUCCAUUGUCCCUUAUCACUUGUCAUUCAUGAGCUGAGAGUAUUGUGGUAGCCAAAGAGUGGCCCCCAGAGACGGCCACAUCUUUAUCCCCAGAAUCUGCGGGUGUAGUAUCUUAUGGGGCUAAGGGGCCUUGCAGCCGUGAUUGGGAUUAGGGGCCUGGAGAUGGCAAGAUUAUUCCAGGUUAUCUGGGAGGGCCCAGUGUAAUGAGAAGUCUUAAAAGAGAAAAAACUACCCAAUAUUCUGUGAUAAUCUAUGUGGGAAAAGAAUCUGAAAAAGAAUGGACGUGUGUACAUGUAUAACUGAGUCACUUUGUUGUACAGAAGAAAUGAUCCCAACCUUGUAAACCAAACAGAUGUCAAUAAAACAUUAGAAAAUGAAAAAAAAGAGAGAGAGAGAGAGAGAAAAGACAUGUGAUGAAGGAAACAGAGACCCAGAUUGACCUGAUGUGAGCAAAAUGCAACCAGCCAUUGCUGGCCUCGAAGGUGGAGGAAGGAGCCCAGCCAGAGUGAAGUGGCUUCUGGAAACUGGGAUAGUCAAGACAUGAUUCUUUUUUUUUUUUCUUUUCAUUUUUUCAUUUUUGAUUUUAAGGGAGAAUUGCAAUGAUUUUUAUUAUUUAUUUAUUUAUUUUGCUUUUAAGGGCCGCACC